GUCAGCAGCCGCGGUAAUACAGAGGGUGCAAGCGUUAUUCGGAAUUACUGGGCGUAAAGCGCGCGUAGGCGGACUGUUAAGUCGGUUGUGAAAGCCCUGGGCUCAACCUAGGAAUUGCAUCCGAUACUGGCAAUCUAGAGUUUAGGAGAGGGAAGUGGAAUUCCUGGUGUAGCAGUGAAAUGCGUAGAUAUCAGGAGGAACAUCAGUGGCGAAGGCGACUUCCUGGCCUAAAACUGACGCUGAGGUGCGAAAGCGUGGGUAGCGAACGGGAUUAGAUACCCCAGUAGUCCACGCCGUAAACGAUGUCAACUAGCUGUUGGCCUUAUUAAAAAGGUUAGUAGCGUAGCUAACGCGCUAAGUUGACCGCCUGGGGAGUACGGUCGCAAGAUUAAAACUCAAAGGAAUUGACGGGGGCCCGCACGAGCGGUGGAGCAUGUGGUUUAAUUCGAUGCAACGCGAAGAACCUUACCAUCCCUUGACAUCCUGCGAACUUUCUAGAGAUAGAUUGGUGCCUUCGGGAACGCAGUGACAGGUGCUGCAUGGCUGUCGUCAGCUCGUGUCGUGGGAUGUUGGGUUAAGUCCCGCAACGAGCGCAACCCUUAUCUUUAGUUGCUACCAUUUAGUUGAGAACUCUAAAGAGACUGCCGGUGAUAAACCGGAGGAAGGCGGGGACGACGUCAAGUCAUCAUGGCCCUUAUGGGAUGGGGCUACACACGUGCUACAAUGGGGGGUACAAAGAGCAGCUAGCUGGCGACAGUGCGCGAAUCUCAUAAAACCUCUCGUAGUCCGGAUCGGAGUCUGCAACUCGACUCCGUGAAGUCGGAAUCGCUAGUAAUCGUGAAUCAGAAUGUCACGGUGAAUACGUUCCCGGGCCUUGUACACACCGCCCGUCACACCAUGGGAGUGGGUUGCAAAAGAAGUGGGUAGUCUAACCUUCGGGAGGGCGCUCACCACUUUGGUGAUUCAUGACUGGGGGUGAAGUCGACACAAGGUAGCC
rnacentral:rRNA from 1 species